CUGAGCUGAUACUCAGGGCACACAGCAUAUAGAGUAUUCUUGUUCCGCAAAAAACAGUACCUCUGCUGCUGCUGUACACUCUGCUGCUUCAGAGUCGCUGUUUAACACUGUGGGUUCACCCUUGAAUUCUUCCUGGAUGAAGCCAAGAACCCUCCUGGGCUAAGCCUCAAUUUUGGGGCUUGCCUGUCCUGCGUCAGCAUGAGUACGGACUUUGGGGUUACAAAUAGGUGCAUUUGCAAAUAUGGAAUCCACGAAUGAUGAAGAUAGACUAUCACUGGGUACCACCGGAAUUCUCUGACCUGAUAACUUCAUAUGCAAAUCCUGGCUGGUCCUUGGAACAGGAGAAAGGGUUGGAAAACAAAGAUCACUUUUCUCUGGCCAAAUGGAAUCACCCAACAAAGUACCUUCCUGAUGGGCCAGCUAUUUCAGAUGAUGAAGGUUUAAGAAGCAGCAUCAUCAGCGAACUGUGUUUUGAAGAUUUGAGGGAAGGGCUGACCUCAGGAUUUUAUACUAGUUGCUGACCUCCAUAACAGCAGACAAAAUUGGAAGCAAGAGUGAUUUUGGAGGAGUCACACUUAGAUGUUUCCCUUACCUAUUUCUGUUCUGGAAAUUUAAAAAUCUUACUUCUCGUGACAGUCCUACAUGAAAAAUUAAAAAUCACAAGGAUUCAUGGAUGGAAAACUGAGACUCAGAGAAUGAUCACAUUCACAUCGUAAUAAAUCAGCAAUAGAAUGGAGUCUCACUCUGUCG
rnacentral:lncRNA from 1 species